UUUGGCACCAUUCAGACCACUA
rnacentral:miRNA from 1 species